rnacentral:rRNA from 1 species
UACGGAGGGUGCAAGCGUUGCUCGGAAUUACUGGGCGUAAAGGGGAGGUAGGUGGUCUUGCGCGUCUAAUGUGAAAUCCUUGGGCUACUACUCAAGAAGUGCAUUGGAAACGGCAAGACUAGAGUUCUGGAGAGGGUCGUAGAAUUCCCGGUGUAGCGGUGAAAUGCGUAGAGAUCGGGAGGAAUACCAGAGGCGAAGGCGGCGACCUGGACAGACACUGACACUCAACUCCGAAAGCGUGGGGAGCAAACAGG